rnacentral:rRNA from 1 species
UACGAGAGGCCCAAACGUUAUUCGGAAUUACUGGGCUUAAAGAGUUCGUAGGCGGCAUUACAAGUAGGGUGUGAAAGCCCUCGGCUCAACCCCGAAACUGCACUUGAUACUGCCUUGCUAGAGUACUGGAGAGGAGAUUGGAAUUUACGGUGUAGCAGUGAAAUGCGUAGAUAUCGUAAGGAAGACCAGUGGCGAAGGCGAAUCUCUGGACAGUUACUGACACUGAGGCACGAAGGCCAGGGGAGCAAACGGG